rnacentral:lncRNA from 1 species
UUGGUACUCCCGGGGCAGAUAGAUAGCUUAGAGGCAUGGGUGGUUUUUAGAACAUUCGCCUUUACUGUGAUGGGAACCCAAAUUUAGUUUCAAAAUCUAGACAAUCCAUCAACUGAAAUCCUAAAAUCAGGAAAUUAGUUCGAAGAGAACUUACCUAGAUUCUUGGUGAGUUCCUGAUCCGUGGACUGAGCUUCCUAAAUCUUCAUGAAUAGAUCUGGCAGGGCUCAGAUCU